AUGCCAUGGUCCGAGAACCCCAUUCCUUUCCCGCCUCUCCCUAGCUCCAGGAAGGUAGGAAGAACAGGUGGGAGAUUCAGGGCCGCGGAAGGAGGACAUUCGGGGAAUUCCCAGGAGGUGGAAAGAAGCGACGCUUGGGAGAAGCAGCCCCCAUCCCUUGCAAAAUCCUCCCCAGGUCCUCAGCAUCUUUGCCCGUAUCUGUGCCUUCACAAGAAAAUUCAGAAGGGGAAGUUUUCGACUGCGAGGUGUACAGUUCACCUGCAGUCCCGAGCCCUCCCCGCGGCUCAAAGGAGGCAAAUCGGGAGCCAGCCUCGGGCCAACUUCGUACCUGGGGUCGGGAAGCGGUCCCCGCGGCCAGCGCCUCCCGAUUCUGCGCGCUUCCUCCCGGCACUGGGCAAGGCCUGCCGGUUCCGGGCGGCGCCUUCCCCACGGCGCGCAUGCGCCACUGCCCGCCCUCCCUCGGCUGGGCGUGUCCCGCACGGGCUCCAGACGGGAGGCCAGUCCGCUCGACGGCCUCUGGCUCCUUCUCCCGGGCUUUCGGCUCCGGCUCCGCACCCGGACUGGGGUCUGCUGCCUCCUGCCGGACGGGGCGGGACUGAGAAGCAUCCGCCGAGAGUGGAUCUGGGUGUAGCCGGGAUCCCAGAAGGCGGAGUUUUAACCAUGGGGCUCUCAAGGAACUUGGCCUUCCGAAAGAGACUUCGGUCAUACAGCGACUCCAUUCCCACCUGGAGGGGAGGAUGGAGAGAGGAAGGAUGGAGAGCGGCAGGAUGGAGGCCCUGGCCUGGCACGUGGAGGGGUGCCACGGCACCUAACCUCGCAUCCUCCUGGUUCUUGGCCCAGCUCAUGGCGGGACCAUCAACUGGUCGGGCUCGGCGCCGGCCCGGCUCCCCGUGGAGGCCCCCGGGUCCGGGCUGGAGACGCACUUUCGGGGGUGGCCUCUUGUCGGUCCUCCGCCCGGCCGGUGGUUCCCAUGGGCUGCGCGCCCUCACUUGCUUCUGACAUCCUG
rnacentral:lncRNA from 1 species